rnacentral:rRNA from 1 species
GACGAACGCUGGCGGCGUGCUUAACACAUGCAAGUCGAACGGAAAGGCCUUUUCGGAGGUACUCGAGUGUCUAACGGGUGAGUAACACGUGGGUGAUCUUCCCUUCACUCUGUGAUAAGCCUUGUAAACUGGGUCUAAUACCGGAUAGGACCGCACUUUAGUGUGUGUGGUGGAUAUUUUUUUGGGUGUUGGUUGAGCCCGCGGGCUAUCAUCUUGUUGGUGGGGUUAUGGGCUUCCAAUGCGGCGUCGGGUAGCCGGACUGAGGUGUUGGUCGUCCACAAUGGGAAUGAGAUAAGGCCCAGAAGGCGAAGGGGGGCAGAAGGGGGGAAAAUUGAAAAAUGGGGGGAAGGCAGAUGGAGCGAAGCCGCGUGGGGGAUGACGGGCUUAGGGUUGGAAAAAACGUUCGCCAGGGACGAAGCGUUUUGUGACGGUACCUGGAGAAGAAGCACCGGCUAACUACGUG